rnacentral:rRNA from 1 species
UUUAACUGAGCGUUCAGUUACUUGACGUAGACCCGAAACCGGGCGACCUACCCAUGAGCAGGAUGAAGCGAAAGUAAAAUUUCGUGGAGGUCCGAACCCACGAGCGUUGAAAAGCUCGGGGAUGACUUGUGGGUAGCGGUGAAAUUCCAAUCGAGCCCGGAGAUAGCUGGUUCUCCCCGAAAUAGCUUUAGGGCUAGCCUCAAGGUGAGAGAUACGGAGGUAGAGCACUGAAUGUCCUAGGGGGUAUUGCACCUACCGAAGACUAUCAAACUCCGAAUGCCGUCAUCUUAUACUUGGGAGUCAGACUGUGGGUGAUAAGAUUCAUAGUCGAAAGGGCAACAGCCCAGAUCGUCAGCUAAGGUCCCUAAAUGUAAGUUAAGUGGUAAAGGAUGUGGGAUUGCACAGACAACCAGGAUGUUGGCUUAGAAGCAGCCACUCAUUCAAAGAGUGCGUAAUAGCUCACUGGUCGAGUGAUCCUGCGCCGAAGAUUUCCGGGGCUAAAACUUACUACCGAAGCUACGGCAUCAGUAAUGAUGGGUAGGGGAGCUUCCCAUACGGGUUGAAGCAUGACCGUAAGGACAUGUGGACAGUAUGGGAGUGAGAAUGUUGGCAUGAGUAGCGAGAUGUGGGUGAGAAUCCCACAGGCCGUAAACCCAAGGUUUCCAGGGGAAGGUUCGUCCGCCCUGGGUUAGUCGGGACCUAAGCUGAGGCCGAAAGGCGUAGGUGAUGGACAACAGGUUGAUAUUCCUGUACUACCGAUAACCGUUUGAGAGAAGGGAUGACACAGUAGGAUAAGCUAAGCACACUGUUGGUUAUGUGUGCCCAAGCAUUGAGGCAGUCAAAGUAGGCAAAUCCGCUUUGAUAAUGCUGGGAUGUGAUGGGGAGCGAAAUUUAGUAGCGAAGUAGCUGAUUUCACACUGUCAAGAAAAGUCUCUAUCGAGGUUAAAGGUACCCGUACCGCAAACCGACACAGGUGGGUGAGGAGAGUAUCCUAAGGCCAGCGAGAGAACUGUUGUUAAGGAACUCGGCAAAAUGACCCCGUAACUUAGGGAUAAGGGGUGCCACCAUCAGGUGGCCGCAGAGAAUAGGCCCAAGCGACUGUUUACCAAAAACAUAGGUUUCUGCUAAGUCGCAAGACGAUG